CUCUCUGGAGCAAAUAUAUCCAGCAAUGUGUUAUGGAUAGAUUGCAUGUGCUGGCUGAGGAGAUGGCAGAGCUGGUCUCAAUGGAGGCGCAGAGGCAGGGUUGCUGGGGCAUGCUCAAACAGGGGACUGGAGCACGGCUACUAUGCCCCACUUCUGGAUCGGUCCUCACUAGGGAUGACAUUAUUGCACCUGAUGGGUCUGUCCAGGCAUGCGAUACAGUCCAUGUGGACUCCUGCACAGGCCUCAUCCAUCCAAUCCCGAAUGCCCACAUGCUCCUAGCUAGUGGCCACAGCAUGCCCGUGGCCUCUGACUUCUUUGUGCAUCCUCAGACUGGCCGGCUGCUCCCAGUGGCAGGGAAUGUAGGAUUUGACUCCUCCAGCUCCACCCUUGUAUGCACAGCCGAUGCUUGUGUGGGUGAGGUUGGAAAAUGGGAGUCUCCUGUGCUUCCCUUCAUUCCCUACCCUUCAUCUCGCCACUCUGAGCUGCUAGGGCCAUCCAAGUUGAGAAGCCUCCAAACAGGCCAGAAGCUUGUAUUUGGAGGACCCAUGUGUGACUUUGAAACUGGCGUACUUGUCCCGAUCCUGGCAGUCACCAUCCACCCCCAGACGGGGAUGGUGUACCCGGUAGGUGGUGCUCAUGUGUGCCCUGUGACGCGACUCCGGCAGCCCAUUCAGAUUGGUUGUCCAAUGCUGGAUCCUCGCACGGGCAAUGUGGUACUCAUAACAGGUGUUAGUCUGGACUCGCAUACAGGUGCAGUGCUUCCAGUAGGAGGUCUCCUGCUGGGCGAAACCUUCAUCGAGCCCCUGAGUGGCAGGCUGGUGCGUGUAGGUGGCGGCAGCCUCCGGGGAGGAAAAGUGGUGCCACAUGCAGGGGGUUUCCAGGCUCUACUGGACAGCCAAGCUCUUGGUGCGCGGGUGGGGGUGGUGGAGCUGAUACGGGCCUACUGUGACGGGUGGAAAUCUGGGAGUCUGGACCUCAACAAUGAGAUUAGCAGAGUGAAGACAGCUGCCUCAGAUUUGGAGCAAGCCUGGAGGAACAGUCAGGACUGCACGCUUCAGCUGCUAAGUUGUCUGGAGGCUCAGCAGGAGUGGGCCUGGCGGGUGGCUGAAGAUGGGGGCAGUCUAGGUGAGAUCAGUCUGCCUGGCAUUGAGCUGUCCCUGCCCGCUCUGCCAGGACUGGAAUAUCCGGACCCUGGAGGUUCUGGCUUAUCAGUCCCUGUUCUUGGUGUGCAGCUGGAUUGGAUGUCAGGGUGUAUGGUGCCUCUUGCUGGAACAAUGGAAGAUGCAGAUGGCAAGGGGCUGGUUCCGAUCCGCUUUGGGGCACAGACUAUAGACCCUGUGACAGGGGUGGUGGCUCCGGUGGUAGGAGCUCGGCUAGACUUCUGGAAGAGGACUGUAGUCCCAGUGACCGUCUCUCAGUGCCUGACCAUAAGAGAAGCUCCAGACAUUGUGCUGGCGGAGGCCUUACAGAAGGAGUGCAGCAUGAGGGCCCAGUUCUGGAGACAGCAGAGAGUAAAGGAAGAAGAACUAGUGGCGGAUUUAGACAGAGCUCUGAGGGACUGCCUUUACACAGCAUUACAGGAAGAGCCAGAUCAUCUUGUGUGGACAGACACAGAUAAGCAAAUAAGGGAGACAGCAGCAGAACUUCAGGAGGAAGACUAUAAAGAGGCUCAAAGAAGAAAUGCUGUGAACUCGGAGCUGUCUCUCCUGCUGCCUGGACACAUCCUACUCACUCUUACUGGAGGUGAUGAAGAAGAGUGGAAGCAGCAGCGUCACUGGCAUGCUGAACUGACUGCAGUGUUGAAUAGAGUGAGUGUGUUUAUGGCAAGGCAGCAGUGGGAGCAAGGUCGGUCCACACCUCUGGGUGAUGAGCAAGCGACCUGCCAGUGAAGCAAGCGUUUGACAGGGACACAGGCUCUAGAGCAUGGACUGUGUCGGUCCCUGUAGCUAAAGAUGCCAAUCAGUCUUGCUGUGCAGCAGUUUCCACUCAACCCCUGAAAGAUCAUGAAAAGGCUUCAUCUGUGAGCGAGCUAAAUGGCUUGAAGGGUGUAUUGUCCAGUACAUCUCCUUCACACAGAGAACAGGAUGUAAGCCCUGCUCAAAGCCAGGAUCUCAAGGAGACGACAUUUCCCGUGCACAUGACAGUCCCCAAACUGUCAGGUGAGGACUGGGCCAGUUUGCUGGAGCUCUCGCCACUCUUCCGGCUUAUCCAAGAUGUGGAACAGCGGCUCAGAGACCAAGCAAAGAACGCCGGCCUGCUUAGCGGCUCAGGGUGCACCUUUAUCGAUUUCUUGGAUGCGCAGUGGGAUUGUGAGGGAGAGCUCGUCAAAGUCGGUGCUGACACUCUCAAUCCCCGCGAGUUUCUCAUCUACCAGCACGGCCAGCUUCUUCUCAAACUGCUACACACACACAGAGUGGCACCAGCAGUGAAAUUACACCUCGCCUCAAGACUUCCUACAAAUAACUACUGCUGCAAUUCCUUCCGUAAUUCCUUUUAUUACCAGGAGACGGAUAACAUUCUGUACGUGCGACAGCAGAGACUGCAGUCUGUAGGAGGUUUCUCUCUGCUGCUUAUACACUGUGCUGCUCACAUAUCCACUGGACAACUUACUGUUGACACAACUGUUGCCUUCCAAAGGGCUUUCUUUAAGGUCCUGCAAGUGUGUCUAAGUGAGUUGUUCCAUGCCAGAUUAGAGCCUGAUUCAGCUGAAGGAAAGAAGCAAAGCACUGACUCAACCCUUAAUAGCCUUGUGUCCGAGAGAGUGCAGAAAUGCGACCCAGGGACUUUGUCUGAGAACCUGAAUGAGGUGGCCAGGCUGCUAGAGAAGCACAAAGAAAGUUCAGUGUUCAGGAAAGUAGAAAGCCUGCUGAGAGAUAAGAACCUGGAGGUCAGCCCAAGUGACAGUGAGCCGCCAAUUAAACAUGGAGCAGAAGGCCAGGACGUUGCGCCAGAGUGAAGUGAUGAAUCGGUCUUGAAAUACGAGCACUGCUGCCUUUCACUGAAUAUGACAAGACCAACUAUCUCAUCCAAACUACUGUAAGCUGCUCCGUGGGAGACAGAUGGCAGCGUAGACGAUGGCUUUGCUUUGGAUUGAGGACGUUCGAGUAACUACAAAAAGAAGCACAUGGAACACACAUUAAACAACAUUAAGCAAAAAGGAAAAAUCCAAAUGAUGACAAACAAUAAUAAGGACAUGAAUGUAAUGCAAAUCAGUGUACAUUAUAACGUUAAGAUAAUUAUUCUGAGGUGGAUGGAAAACUACUAAAAUGCAAGAUCGUGUAGUCAGUUAUUAAACUAAGUAACAGUGAUUGGUAUACGUUUAAAAACGCUUGAAUAUCAAAUGUGCAAAUUAUGAAAGCUUUCAAUAUUUCAUAAUGCAAGGUCCUAUUUCAAAUGAGGUCAUUACAGGGAAAAAAAAAAAUAUAUAUAUAUAUAUAUAUAUAUA
ensembl:lncRNA